rnacentral:rRNA from 1 species
GACGAACGCUGGCGGCGUGCCUAAUACAUGCAAGUAGAACGCACAGUUUAUACCGUAGCUUGCUACACCAUAAACUGUGAGUUGCGAACGGGUGAGUAACGCGUAGGUAACCUUCCUGGUAGCGGGGGAUAACUAUUGGAAACGAUAGCUAAUACCGCAUAAUAUUUAUUAUUGCAUGAUAAUUGAUUGAAAGAUGCUAUUGCAUCACUACCAGAUGGACCUGCGUUGUAUUAGCUAGUAGGUGAGGUAACGGCUCACCUAGGCGACGAUACAUAGCCGAACUGAGAGGGUGAUCGGCCACACUGGGACUGAGACACGGCACAGACUCCUACGGGAGGCAGCAGUAGGGAAUCUUCGGCAAUGGACGAAAGUCUGAGCGAGAAACGCCGCGUGAGUGAAGAAGGUUUUCGGAUCGUAAAGCUCUGUUGUAAGAGAAGAACGGGUGUGAGAGUGGAAAGUUCACACUGUGACGGUAUCUUACCAGAAAGGGACGGCUAACUACGUG